rnacentral:snRNA from 1 species
AACUUUGCGCAGUGGCAGUAUCAUAGCCAAUGAGGUUUAUCUGAGGCACGAUUAUUGCUAAUUGAAAACUAGACCAUGUCUUCUUUAUCCACUCAUCUGUUGAAGGACAUCUGGGGUCUUUCCAUAGUUUGGCUAUUGUGGACAUUGCUGCUGUGA